UACACAGUCUGUGGAUGCUAAAAACAUCCCAGUAGGUUGUGCCUUUAACUUUCCAGCCAAAUGUCAAGCAAUUGCUGUCUGUUUCAGUCGUUAGUCAGUUUUUCGUUCUUCUGAAAAAUGUUUUCCUCAGCGCUCAGAAAUCUGCCAAUCUUUCGCCCCCAAGGAACAGUUCGGCAAAUGGUUUACCACAAGCGCAACGGGUCCGCUAUCCCGUUUCCAACAUCAAAUCAAGUUCCUAGGCGGCACGUCCAAAUCAUGGCCGCAGGAAUGUUCGCGGUAUGGGUUACGAUUCCUUUCGCGGCGGCCUAUGCAAUAAACGCAUACCGGAAGGAGUUGGGUGAUGACUGACAAGUUUGCCUAACAUUUCUUUGCUUUGUUAAACUAUUGAUGAACCCGUGAAAUACAGCCAAUCUGAUUUACCCUUUAA